GAACCGAGAUCGGAGGGGGCGUGGCCAACCCGCUCGGCCGCGCCCCGAGCGCAGCUGAGCCCGCCGCGGGGACGCGGUGGCCGGUUCUCAUUGGGUCGGUGCUGGUGCCGCGUUUGUUCGGUGCGUUCCCCUGUGUGUCUGGUUGGUGUUGGUGCCUCGGUUGUUUCACGGCAGCGCAGCCGAGCCCGCAGCGAGGACGUGCUGGACACGGACGGGGCGUGAAGGAGCUGCAGGUGCCUGCGGGCAGGUCCCGGACAGAGGCAGCGGCGGGCAAGGGUUAAAACCUACAAUGGCCUCAAUAAAGGGGUGGUGGAAAGUGGCCGCAUGUCGCCGUGGUCCUUACGGGUCCCUCUCGUCCCCAGCCCGGGGCGGGGGGGUCAGGCCGAGCCGUGCCCUGAGCUCCCCCGGCCCAUCCCACACCAGCGACUGUUCCCAGACACCUUGCCCCCCCCUCCCCGAUGCGGGGACCCGGGUUCUCGCCGCCAGCUCCAGCUCCAGCCUGUGCAGCUUCAAGCCUGUUUGCGGUUCCAGCUCCUCUGCAGCUGCUUCUGGUUCCAGUUGUUCUGCAGCUCCAGCUCGUUGUGCUUGUUCCACUGAGCUUGGCCUUGGGCCAGAUUGUAAAUCAAUCACUGUCACAAGCUGCCUAUGAAUAUGACACAUGAAUAAAUAUGAACCAAUUAUCUAAUAA